rnacentral:rRNA from 1 species
GGCCGGGCGGCCUUGGUCAAAUCGGUCCUCACUUCUCAAGUCAUCUACCACAUCACAUCCCUGAACGUCCCCGCCGGUGUGCUACACAAUGUCAAUAGAAUUGAGCGUGCUUUCCUCUGGUCAGCUCAGAGUCAAACUUCAGGUGCAAAAUGCAAGGUCAACUGGGAGACUGUUUGCCGCCCUACGCAUCUCGGCGGGCUUGGAGUCCUACACUUGGGGAAAUUUGCAAGAGCUCUAAGGUUGAGAUGGCCAUGGGUGGAGUGGAAGGACCCGACUAGAUUGUGGGUGGGCUUGGGAAACCCGUGCUCUGAGGUGGAUAUGGACCUCUUCUACGCCUCCACCGUCAUCACCGUGGGAAAUGGAGGGAAGACGACCUUCUGGGAGGCACCAUGGUUGAGAGGGAAAAAACCGAAGGAUAUCGCCGCCCUCAUCUUCGCAGCCUCCAAGCGGAAGAAGUGGGUGGUGAGGGAUGCACUGCGAGACAAUGCUUGA